CUCCAAAGAUGACCAUCUUUUUGAGCCGAGUGUCUGGGCCACUGACUUAAGUGAUGGGAUUGAGAGACUGAGGAU